GACGAACGCUGGCGGCGUGCUUAACACAUGCAAGUCGAACGGGAUUUAGUAGACAGAAGCCUCGGCUAAAGAUUACUAAUGAGAGUGGCGAACGGGUGAGUAACGCGUGAGCAACCUGCCUAUGACAGUGGGAUAGCCUCGGGAAACCGGGAUUAAUGCGCAUAAAAUCGUAGAAACACAUGUUUUAACGGUCAAAGAUUUAUCGGUCAUAGAUGGGCUCGCGUCUGAUUAGCUAGUUGGUGAGAUAACAGCCCACCAAGGCGACGAUCAGUAGCCGGUCUGAGAGGAUGAACGGCCACAUUGGAACUGAGACACGGUCCAAACUCCUACGGGAGGCAGCAGUGGGGAAUAUUGCACAAUGGGGGAAACCCUGAUGCAGCGACGCCGCGUGAACGAAGAAGGUAUUCGUAUCGUAAAGUUCUGUCCUAUGGGAAGAUAAUGACAGUACCAUAGAAGAAAGCUCCGGCUAAAUACGUG
rnacentral:rRNA from 1 species